GCUCCUACCGAUUGAAUGUGUUGGUGAGGAGUUCGGAUUGGCAGUUUGUGGUGGUUCGCCACUGCUUACAGCUGAGAAGUUCUCCAAACCGCCCCAUUUAGAGGAAGGAGAAGUCGUAACAAGGUUUCCGUAGGUGAACCUGCGGAAGGAUCAUUG
rnacentral:rRNA from 1 species